rnacentral:lncRNA from 1 species
GCCGAUGAAGACAGCCUUAACCGGAACUACGCUCGUGGGAAUAGGCGUGUCAGUAAUCGCCUGAACAAAAGGCAUUGGGAAAACACGAGGUGGCGUCGACGGCGCCACCUCUUCAGCAGAAGAACGUCCUUGCUGCUCCCGAAGAGCUUGACGCAGCUCCUCAGUCACCUUGCUGAGCUCCUCGUUCCUGGCGCGAGAGGCAACCAGGUCCUCAUGUAUCCUCGCCUGCUCUACGCGUGAGGCUUCCACAGUUGCCUGCAAGGAGCGCAUCAUCUCUGCCAUCUGCGCCAUGGUCAUGGCGGCGUCGCCUUCAGCAGCGACAGGCGCCACGGGGCUUGAACGAUUGCUUCUCAUUUUUCUCAUGAACUUCAGCAAAUCACAGGAAUGCAACGAACAACACUUCAACCACGAUCGAAUCAGCGAUCAAUCGGAGAAAACAGUGCGAAACCGUGCAAGAAAACUCAAGAACACCGUCAACCUUCAAAGAAAACCACACCUUCACCGGAAACUACCGCUUCCCUGCAAGCAACCAAACGAGCGAAAGAACUCGAACUUCCACCAAACAGAUUACGCGCAAACAGCAGGAAACCUCACUCCAUCGAUCGAAAAGCCAAACGAACGGUACAAAACGCGAACUCACCGAACGAAACUCAAGCAAACAGCGAACGAUGGUUGCACCAGCACACAACCACGUAGAAAACUUCGAAAACUUCCAAGAACUCACGCUGUGGAUGGGAGCAAGUUUUACACGGUCCCACGGUGGGCGCCUGAUGAUCCUGCCUGUUGACCGGAACGCUGGAAACUGCCUCGUCAAAGGAUCGACGUGCGCACCGCUUCUCACUUCCGUUCCUCUUCGAGAUCCACCUCAAGAACCUGCAAAGAAACAGAGCGGCGCCGCUGCGGCCGAUCGCACUCCAACGCUCAAGUCAGUGACGGUAUCACCAAAUACUAAGAGAACAAGAACCGUGCAAAUCCUCUCUCACAGUCAGCUCUAUCACUCGCAAGCGUAAAGAGUAUGAACUGAACGUGCGUACCUCAGAAAGUUUGUUGAGAACUCUUAUAUACCUGGCUGUUUUCUCUCUCCUGGCAGUUACAAACCUGGACACGUGGCUCGCAUCCAGUCGUACACGUGCCAUCAUCUGGAGCCUCCUUGACUUGGCGCUGCUUCCACUCUCAUUUAGGCUAAGUUACUUAUGCAUGGUACUGCCCAGUGCAUAGCUAACUUGGGAGUGCGAUCUCUACUGGAACUGGCGAGUUAGGGCCUUCAUACACCUUCCCUGUGGUCUCGCCGGCCGCCUUCAUAAUCUGCUUCUCUUUCAUCUUUGGCGAUGUGCUUGCUCUGGCGAUCUCCAAUGACUAGGUCGCCUGAAUCUACAUCUGGCGACUUCAUCUUUAACCUGCUGAUCGCCGAUUCUGGUAAGCUGGAAAUCGGAACACGCCAAUUUAACAACUGGCGACUACACGAGCCCCCCGACUUCCUUUCCUCUUGCCAACCUGGCGCCUUGCCAACACGUCUAUACUGUUGCAGGGUGCCACGUCAUCACUCCCGACCACCAGGGCGGUACAAACAACAUCCCUAUUUUUACCCAUAUUUGCUAAUAUAUUACGCAUGCAAUAUCUAAUUAACAUAUACAACAUAUACUACUUCUCAAAAAGAUAUCAUUCUUUGUAGGGAUUUAAUAUAUACAUAAAAGUAUACAAAUAAAACAUUUGUUCAUCUGACUGCUCAACGAGGAGCUCUAUCACAUACAACUUCAUAUGCUCCCGUGUAAAUUAACACGAUCAUCACAGAUUUAAAGAAAACACACACAAAACAAAUUACAGGGUAAGCUAACUAUUUUUUAGAAUUCUAAUAUAAAUUUGAUUUUAAAAAACACACAUAAUUCAUAAAAUUCUCAUAAUUUUCACAAAGUCAUCAAGUGUCUAUCACAUUUAUCAUCUACAUUAUUCCUGUCGAAUUUCUACUGACUACUCACAUACUCAGACACUCGACUCUACUUUCGGAAGACUCGUGUAUUGAAAUUAACAUUUAGAGACCUGCACUUGUCAUACUAUUCAUGCGCAUAAUCAAUCUUAAUAUCUCAUAAUCUCAUAUGACAGGAUAAAUCCAUUUAAUCUGCUCUGAUCAGUUUUUUUAAACCUCAGACAUAGCCAAACAAACCUCCUUCAACUCUCACAAACUGAAUAACUUCAUCUAUGUGAUUCCAUUAUAUCAAUAAAGUCAAUAUCGUCUCAUUUACAUAACACUCACAAAUCAAUAUAUCUUAAUAACAAUCUAUGUUUAACAUGUGUUCAAAGUUGGACAUGUAUAAUUUUUAUACUCAUAACUUGAGGGGCUCUCUACCCAGAGGGUUGAAAUUUGAUAUAAUUAUCAAUUCUGUUUUGUGUUUAUUUUCCUUAUAUACAUAUUAUUUGUCUUUUACAUCACAUACUCCUUUUCCACAAUAUUUUGUUCUUUUCCCUUUUUGUUCAUGCUUAUCAAUCUCUUUAUUCUUAUUAUGUUUUGUCCCUGCUUCUACAUAUGAAAAAAAAAAUACUAUCAAUCCAAUGUUAAUUGGUGCUUCAAUUUGCUAACAACUCUAUAUUUUUGUUGCAACAAUAAAAUGUAGAGAGAAUAGAGAAAAUGAAUGAACAGAAUGACUAUUGAAAAAUAUAAGUAUAAUGAUUAAUGACGCUAAAGCACGAGUUUUGUAAAUACGUUUUUGUUGAAUUUGUGAGUCAGUAAUGCAUAUUUGUUUUGACUUCUCAACAUCCUUUUUCACUUUUCAAAAAACUAUACCAAAUUGAUAAUAAUUGUUGGAUCCACAUUCCUCUGAACUUGAAUGGUUUUGCAAACAUGUAUUUGAUAAUUAGUUUACUUUAGUCAAGAUAGACGAAAAUUUGGAUCUUAAAAUUGAAAAGUAAAUAAACAUAAAGAUUGAUCCUAAACUCAUGAAUGAAUCAAAGGGAUGAUAAAUAAAUUCAUUUUAAGGAUAUUUUUUGAAACUAUUUUGAUUGAGAUAUAUGUAUUGAUGCAAUACGUGUAUGAAUAUGAAUAUAUCUAUCAUAUUUAAUUAAUUAUGAGACCAUAAUGAAUAUCUAAGUAGUAUUUUGUCUCUAUCCAUUUUUUAAAAUUACUAAAAAAUUAUUUUUACUAUUUUAUUAAUAUUUUUUUUAUUUCAUUUCACUAUUUUCUUUCCUUUUUAUUUUAUUUCAUUUAAGACAUUUUUUAUUAUAUAAUUUAUUAUUCUCUCAACUGUUCAAUUCAUUAGAUUUAAAAAAUUUAUUGAAAUUCCUAAUGUAUUUUCAUUUUUAUCGCACUUUCAGUAUAUUUUUCUUUACCUCCGUAUUUUUUUUUCCAAAUAAUGUAUUAUAUUUUAGAAAAAAUAAACCUUAAUUCUAUCAAAUUAUAUCAAUUUUGAGUGUUUAACGGUAUAAAAUAACUUAAAAGAACUUAUCAUUUUUUCCCUUUAGUUUUUAAUUCGUUUCAUUUAGAAAAGUUUUCUUUCAUUACACAGUUUUGUAUUAUCUCUUAUAACAUUCAACUCGUUUCAUAUAUGUUUACUCAAAAUUUUCAGACAUUUUUCUUUAAAUAUUUUUAAAAAAUUAUAUUUAUAAUUAAAUUUCAAUUAUAUAUAAUAAUUAUUUAAUAGUAUAUUUUUCUGUGAUUUUUUUUAUAAAAAAAUAUAUUAAUAUUUAAAACAUUAGUAUUCUACACAAAUUUUAUAUUCAAUAAAAAUGAAAAAAAACUCAAAUUUCAUAAAUGAGAAUGAAUUUUUAAUUUUAUGGAACUUAUCCCAGGCGUAACUCCCUUAAUCAUCAUGGAAUCCGAAUCCUAAAAAACUUGGGAGUAAUUAAAGCAUCUAAAAUUAGAAUAUUUUUUCAUAAUCCCAAAACCCAAUUCCAGUAUAACAACUACAGGGCUGUGUUACGGCCCGAGGCUUUGAACCGCCUAUACCUUUCGGUAUUCGUGCACGUCACGCGCCAUGCACUUCGUCGGUCAUUCGAAAUCCACUCCUGUUGCACCCUUCCUUCCUUGCCACCUUCUUCUUCCUUCUAAUUUCCAAAGCUUCACAUAGACCAUUUUACCCUUGCGUGCUGCAUCUCCACCUCCAACUUUCUUUUUCAUUGCAACCUGAAAGGAGAAACAAUACACACAAGUUUAUCUUACUGAUCUGCGUUCAUCGUUUCUCUUCUUCAUCCAUGGCUUCUGCGACCUCUCAGCGAGCUCAGCUAGCUAGGCUGUGCAGCUCCAAGGACUGGUCUAAGGCCAUUCGAAUCCUCGAUUCGAUCGUUUCUCAGUCUGGUGCAAUCCAAGAUAUCUGGUGCGUACGCAUACUCUUCUUCGCACCUCUCCGAUUCCGUUUUUUUUUUUUUUUUUUAUCGCAAUUACGAUUAAUUCUCCGUCGUGUGAUAAUGUGAUAUUCAAUCUUUCUCUGGUGCUUGCUUUCAGUAACAGAGCCUUCUGUUACAGCCAAUUGGAGCUGCACAAGCACGUAAUUAAGGAUUGCGACCGAGCGCUUCAGCUUGACCCCGCGCGUCUUCAAGCCUACAUUCUCAAAGGUCUCUUGCUUAUAAAUUCAUUCAACAAUUGUUUGUAUCUUGAGAAGUGCGAUUUAAAUUCUUGUCAGAAUAACAGAGUUGGUUGAUGAAUAGAAGGUUAAGAACCACGUAGGAACUUGGAAUUUUAUUUUCAAGGAUUUAUUAGUUAUUCGUAGUGACAAAUGCUUUGUCUUUUGAACUUAGCACCGGCUUAUUAUUUCAACUAGGUCGUGCGGUUUCUGCUUUGGGAAGGAAAGCAGAUGCUCUGUUAGUAUGAGAGCAAGGUUAUGAACACGCGCAGCAUCAGUCUGCAGAUUUGAAGCUGUUGCUAGAACUCGAAGAGCUUUUGACAACAGCAAAGCAAGACAGCAUUGCAUUGUGUGAAACCAAUGGAUCGUCCACGCCACAAUCCGAAUCAGAUGCUAUGAGUAAUGGGAGUUUGACUGAAAUUGGUGAGAAUCAAGAUAGGUUGAGUGCUCAAGCUGAAUUAUGUGACAAUACAAGUGAUAAAUCUGCGAUCUUGCCGAAGUCUGCUGAUGAUUUUGAUUCCAGAAAUGAAUUAAGUAGUGAAGAUAGAGAGUCUAAUAAAUCUGACAGCCAAGUAAAUGGAAGCCCUGACGUUAUUGAUAAAUUGAGUUAUAAUUCUGAAUCGUGUAAUGACUCAAGUGACACGUCAGAAUCAUGUGAUAAAGAUAAAGUAUUUACCAAUAGGGGUGAGUCUAGUAGUGAUUCGAGUGAAAUUGCUGAAAUUCUUAGAAAGCCAAGUAGUAAGUUUAUUUUUCCCCAUGAAAAAAAUGGUGAUGCAAGGAAAAAUAAGAAGUUCUGUGUUGCUCGGAUUUCAAAGACUAAGUCUUUAAGUGUAGAUUUUGGGCUCUCACGAGGAAUAGCGGAGGUUUGUUUGCACAACUGCUGUGUUGCUGUAUUUAUUUGUUUGAUAGCAUAUUGAUUUUGUGAUGUUUUGCAGGUAAAUGAAGGAAAAUAUGCUCAUGCCAUAGCCAUUUUUGACCAGGUUAGUGCUUCAAUUGGGAUAUUGGUGGCGUUUCCUUUUAUGAUAUUUACUUUUUUAGAGAUACUUGUGUUUCCUUUUGAUGUGUGCUUGUUAUCUUAUCCUCUUUUUCUGUAUCAUCAAUGACAAACUUUCUCUUGUCUUCAUCGUGUACUCAGAUACUGAAAGAGGAACCAGCAUAUCCUGAAGCACUGAUUGGUAGAGGGACGGCAUAUGCAUUCAAGAGAGAACUUGAUGCUGCUAUAGCUGAUUUUUCAAAGGUAUUUAAAUUUGAGCAAACUUUCUGAAAGGUACAUCGAGAUGUGGGUAUCUCCUCUAUUUAUAAGUAGUUUCACAUGUAUUUCUCAGGCUAUACAAUUUAAUCCUUCAGCCGGUGAGGCAUGGAAGAGGAGAGGUCAAGCUCGGGCAGCCUUGGGGGAGUUUGUUGAGGUGGGUUCGCUUACUCCAUCUUAGUAUUUGUAAUUUUUUUUGAAGUUCAACCAAAUCACAUUACUGAUUGGAAUUUUUUUUAAAUGGGUAUUUUAGUUAAUCAAUGCUUCAUGUUAGGUAUGGUCCAUUGACACUCACCCUUAAUGAAAUGGAUCUCUUCUGGUAUAGAAAAUGAUAUUUGGUUUAUACUUUUGUUUGCUUUGACUUAUUUUAACUAAGGUGUGAAACUUGAUUUGGUUUAGGCAUUAACACUUGGGUCAAAUAUUUAUUUGCUAAGCAAAACUAGUGCAGUUGUCAAUAGUUUUGUAGAUUCAUGUUAUGGCUCUGUUUAACUAGUGAUCUUAUUAUAUUUAUCAUUGAAAAGAAGGUGAUUGAAAUUUUCAGUGACUUAAGUAAGAUCUCAUUUAAAUCAUUUUUUAUUAUAUAUGAUUUUAUUGCACAAAUAACAAUUCAUAAUGUGACAUUGACAACUGCUUCCGGACAUCUCAGGCUAUUGAAGAUUUAACUAAGGCAUUAGAGUUUGAAACCAACUCAGCAGAUAUUUUACAUGAGAGAGGUAUCUUUUCUGACAGUCUUUUUCAUUUUGUUAUUUGGCUAACUGAUUGAUGCUGGAAUAGUUAUUUGUGCUUCCUUCUAUAAUGAUGGUUCAUGCAUGCAUCUUGUGGUUGGUAGCACCUAGAAGUCUAGACAGAGACUUCAUUAGUUUCAUGUGAAACGAAUAGUCUUUCUUAAUAAUUAUGUCCUGUCUCCUGUAUCUUGUUUUCAAGUUACAACCUCACUGUUAAUUUCAAGUUGUUGUUUGAUUAUAAAUUAUUGCUGUGAUAAUCUUGAUCUAAUUAUUUUCUUUCUAUAGAGUAAUGCUACUUAUAUAUGUCUAACGUAUGUUUUUCAUAAAAUUCAAUGCAGGAAUUGUAAAUUUUAAAUUUAAAGAGUUUGAUGCUGCAGUUGAAGACCUUUUAGCCUGUGUGCAACUAGACAGGGAUAAUAAGUCUGCCUACACGUAUUUGGUGGGUCCUGAGUCUUAACAUUUUAGUCCUCAUUUAUUAUGAGCUCUCUAUGUUGGUUUUCUCAUCUUUCACAUGAAAAUAUAUCUUUGUUAUUUAUCUGAGGAAGCACUGUCUUUUACAGGGUUUAGCAUUAUCUUCAAUUGGUGAAUAUAAGAAAGCUGAGGAUGCACAUUGAAAAUCACUUCAAAUUGAUAGAAAUUUUCUUGAAGCAUGGGCACACCUGACUCAGGUAUCUAUCAACCUUAUUGUACUGAUAGAUUGUGGAACAUUUAGUUAUUAACUUAGCUGAAAGCUUUAUUCUGAAAAUCCUGAGUCACCUGUGUGCAUAUUAUUUUAUGGUUUGAAAUGUAAUCUAUUGUAUACUCGGAUGCUCUCUGGUCUCUAAUAAUAUGUUUCCUCAUUGCUUUCAUUCAUAACAUUUCUGUCCCAUAUACUAACUCAUUCAACUUGAAUUAAAGUUUCCAUUUAAUGUCAGCUUAGUAACUUAGUUUGCAUUUGCGUUUUCCCUUUAGUAACUUAUGGGUUUAACUCUACAAAGUAGGUUACAUCUUUCAUGCCUUUUUUUCAAGUUAUAGGUUUAUGGCCUUUCUGUUUGAUGAUUUGUUGCUAGUCCUGUUCUGAAUGUGUGAUUUUGGUAGUUAAUCAGGAUCUAUCAGUGUGUUGCUAGCCCAGUUUUUGGCCUUUCAUUUUAUGUUAUAGGAAAAACUUGUAUUUUAAAAGAUUUUGGCUGCUAAAUUUAUUCUGAACAUGAGGUUUUUGGCAGUUCUAUCAAGAUAUAUCGAAGCCAACAAAAGCUCAAGAAUGUCUAAGUCAGAUUUUGCAGAUUGAUGCAAGGUAAUUGUUGUUAAUGAAAUGGUAUCAUUGGCAUUGCAGGUAUUUUAGCUGGUAACUGGUUUAUAAAGCUUGAAGUACUUUAUGCCACUUUGCUCUUUAUCAGCAGCUGAUUGUUUGUGUUCUGAUGUUAGGUUUUCUAGAGCUUAUCAUUUGCGUGGCCUUUUGUUCCAUGCAAUGGGAGAACAUAGGUAUGUAAACAACCUUAACUGCUGAUUAGUUGGGGAUUGAAUAUUUAUUUGACACUGUAUCUUGCAAGUUUUCAAUAGUAUUAUGAUUGGGUCCAUGAAUGCAAGUAACACAAACUUUGAGGUAUAGUGGCAGACCUACAAGUAGUUAUUGAAGAAAAUUUGGUGGUAGAACUUGGAAAUAUGAUGAAAUCUGAUACGAAGAACUAAACUGCUCUAAAAUACAUAAAAUCUAUAUGUAAAAGACACUAAAAGAUAACAUUGAUAUUUUUAUCCCUAUCUGUAGGUAAGAAGAGUACAUUUAUAUAACCUAAAAACAUGCCAUCAACUAAAUUAUGACCCCACAAGCGUCAUCAUCUCAUUUUAAGAAAUUAAAACUAUAAAAUAAAUAUUAUUUUUAACAUUCUAGAACCAUCUUAUUAAAUCUUUGAACCAUUUCCUUUUUCUUCUUCUGAGUCUCUCUAGGCCCAUUUUAUCAUUGCCACUGGGUUGAAUGAGAACCUUGUUCUCAAGGUUUUAUGACAAAAAAAAAAUUAUGAUAGAGUGGUGGGCAUUAGUGGAAACGAAUGGUUGGAAGUGUGAUGGUGGGAAAUCCAUUAUGGAUUUCACAUGGAUUUGGUUGGGUAAAUUGGUUGGGAGGUAUAUGUAUUGGGCUUGCAUGCAAUAGGUGAGGUAUUCAGGAAAAAGACUGUCCUUAGAUGAUGGUGAAGGGGAAAAUUUGGUUGCAGUGAUAGGAAUGAUAGGUGGAAUAGGAAUAGGCUUCAUAUUGAGUGGUGUAGGAAAAAUAGAAGGCACAUGGAAUGAUCUGUGCAUGUGGAGUCCACUUGUUGCAAGCAAUAUUACUCCUAAGGAAGGUCAAAAGUUACGUGCCGAAGGUGGGUGAGAAUACGAGAGAUGUGUGGCACAAUUAAGAGAGAACAAGUGGCAUUUUUUAUGGGUGAAUUGAUUUUGGAAAAGGGGUGGGUGGUUGUGUCAUGGCUAGUUUUUGUUUUAAAGUUUGGGGCGAGACAGGUAUGGUUAUUAGGGGGGUCAGCUGGGCAAGCUAGGGUUGAUGGAUAAUGAAGGUGGGGAACAACUAUAGGUGGAAUGGUCUGUGGGGAGGUUGUGUUUUGUUCAAAGGUGGUUUUAGUAUUAAGUGUGUGGUUUGAGAAGUGAACGUUGUGGUAAGCCUGAAUGGGUCAGGUCAUCGUGGUAAGGUUGGAGGGCAAAUGCAUGGGAGGAGUUAGUGGGACAAGUCACCGUAAAAUGUCAGUGGAGAUUAAGUGGUGGUGGCUAUUGUGACUCCAAGACCCACAAUGGAGGAGUUGACAGGGAAGGGGAGGGUGUGAUGAAAAACUUAGUUGUGUUGACCACAGUGGCGGUGGCCAUUGUGGUGGUUAGUUGGCUUGAUGGUUGUGGUGGCCAUUAUGGCUGUGGUGGACACAGCCAUUGAAGUGGGGGAAGGAUUCAAGUACUAGUGGUAUUGUGAGGAUAAAGGCAUUUGGUGAAGGUGGUGGGGUUGGUGGUGCAGAUUUGUACUGUAUGGUGAUGGUGAUGGUGGUGGUGGUGGUGGUGGUGGUGGUGGAGGGUAAUAUAAAUGUUGGUGGAUGUGGUUGAAAUCCCUGUGAGCUGGAGGCUGUUGUGGAUGCUGUGGUGGAUAGUAUAAAUGUGGGUAUGGAUAAGUCUGUGAAUUUUUUGAGAUAUAUGAUGGUGGUAGUAAUUGUGGUGGCCACUCUAUAGGCAGUGACUGUGUGGGUGGUGUGAGAUAGAUGGCAUCAAAUUUCUGGCCAAUAGCUUGGAGGCUUUCUGCCAUGGUGGUGUCAGUUGUGGGUAAGCCAAUGAAAACACCAUUUGAUAGGAGGAACUAAACUACUCUAAAAUACAUAAAAACUAUAACUAAAAGACCCUAAAAGAUAACACUGCUAUUGUUUCUCCCCUCUCUACAGGUAAGAAGAGUACAUUUAUAUAACCUAAAAACAUGGCAUCUUCUAAAUUAUGAUCCUACAAGUGUCAUCAUCUCAUUUUAAGAAAUUAAAACUAUAAACUAAAUAAUAUUAUAAAUAUUAUUUCUAAUAUUCUAGGACCAUCCUAUAAAUUCCCUGAAACAUUUCCGUUUUCUUCUUCUGAGUCUCUGUAGGCCCAUUUUAUCAAAAUCUUUCAGGGAGUGAAUAAAGUUGAGAAUACUGCUUCAGGAACUAGGAUUAGUUGAUAUCUUCCAUGUCAACUACUAGAUUGGUUGAACUGGGAUCUUUAUAGUGAGAUGCUUUUUGAAUUUGUAAACUUUGGUUGGCAGUAAAGGUGUGCUUCAAUGAAGAUUUAUGUUGUAAAUGUGCCUGAAGUCUCAAAGAAAGUACUUGUACAGUAUUUAUUGUUCAUUUGAAUCCAAGAAUUAAGUGGUCAAUUCAAUGGUUAAUGACUUACAUCUUUGUCUGCGAUAUAAGAUUUUAGAGAUAUAAAUUGUGUAUGAGACAAUGUGCGCCAUGAUCAUAUGGUUAUGAUUUAUUGGUAGCUUUGAAUUUAUAGUAGCAACCACAUUUCCAUGGAAAUUGCUUUCAAAUAUUUCGUAACAAAGGUCUGCUUUAACAUGUUUUGGUCUUGAAUUUUAGGUUCUGCUACUUUAUCUUGUUUCUGACUUAAAUUGGGUUUGACUGUGACAGGAAGGCUAUCAAUGAUUUGUCAAUAGGGUUGACCGUUGAUGGUGCCAAUGUUGAGUGUUUAUAUUUGCGAGCUUCAUGCUACCAUGCUGUUGGACAAUACAAAGAGGCGGUAAGGUUUUACUUUUAACUUUUUGGGAGAAAUACCGAUUCACAUUAGUCACUUGGCAACUUCAUUUCUGAUCUCAGGUCAAGGAUUAUGAUGCUGCUCUGGAUUUGGAGUUGGACUCAAUGGAUAAGUUUGUGCUUCAGUGCCUUGCCUUUUACCAGGUUUGUAUAUUGUAAAAUUUUAUAUUUGUACAGCUUCUGUUUUUCCCCCUUAAUUCUAUUUUAUUUAUGAAAAGGAAAACUAAGACCUCUCUUUGUGAAAAUGUCAUCUGACAAAGCUGGGAGCUGUUAGAAAUAAAAGAUAAAAUAAAAUCUGAUUAAAAAGAGAAAGUCAGAAUAGUAGUGUUUCGCAUAAAAUGGACAAUGCUUAUAAUAAACAAUAAUACGAUUUUGCACUUUUCCACAAAUAUAAUUUGUUUCUUUAUUCUAAGCGGUUAUUCUAUUCUUGGUAAACAUGAUAAAAAAUAUUAGAGAGUAAAAGAUUAGAUAAAACCUGGGUUGACACAUGUAGAAUGAUGUCCUUAAAGAGAAAAUGUCCCACUAGACUGGUAGAAAGAAAUUUGAGUACAAUGAAGGAUCUCCUAACCUUAUGAACACCAAUGUUCUUUGAAAGAGUAUAAAAUAUCCAAAUAAUUUAGAAGAAAAAACUGGCAAUGAUUUGUACGUGAAUGAAAUGUUGUAUGUACCUUUUCUGCUCAAUGGAAUGCUCUUUAUAUAAUAGGCCUAGGCAAUGCACCAGUAAAACUGAAGGUGCGGAACUAAAAAAAUGGAAAUAUAUUGUUCCGAUACCAAAGCUUCUAAUGUUAAAAAAAUUAACAAAAUGUCCACCAACUUUUUUUUAAACGUUAUAAACAUUUGUAACAAUCUAACGUGUUACAUAUUUAAAAACUGUUUUAAAAUAAUAUAAAAAAUGAAUACUUUAAUUUUUUAAAUUACAAUAAAAUAUUUUAUCAACACUAAUGAGUAGUAAAUUUUCAAAGGAGGCACUAGGUUAGAGUGAGAGAUUCUUGCCUUUCAACAUACAAACCGAGAGCUUACUAGUGUCAACUUGCAAAGUUCUUUUAACAUUAUUUUAUAUGCUGUCCUCUUCUGCUUUAGUUCUUCUAGUUACUUAGAUUUCAUGUGAACCUUUAUUGAGAAACACUUGCCAGACUUGCUUUCUCUUGAUUAUUGUGAUAAUUUAUUGACCAAUUUUGUACAUUCAUUUUGGGCAUUAUGCGAAUGAACUUAUGUAUUGGUUAAUGAAUGUUAACAUCUUCCAUUAAUUUUUAUUUAAUGUUACUUGUAUAAUGAGCAUCGAACUCUUUUUCCCCUCUUGCAGAAAGAGAUUGCUCUUUAUACCGCCUCAAAAUUUAACCGUGAGUUUUGCUGGUUUGACAUUGAUGGGGAUAUUGAUCCACUUUUUAAGGUAAAGUUAUGGAAUUUAUUCUACCUUUCUAUGAUACUUCUCAUCUCUUUAUUUGGCCGAACUAAACUUUUUAUGGGAUAGGAUUAUUAGUUUGAACUAAACAAUUACAAGACAUGUUACUAUCGUCAUGCUUGCGGAAUGUCAGAAAACUUGUACAUCGUACUUGUUUGCAUAUAACUUAAGUUUCUAUGUGGGUUUCAGAAGCGUAUAAACUUUUACUUCUAUGUUGGAGAUGUGUUUUGUAUUGCUUAGAUUCUAAUUUCUAUGAUAUUAUGUCUAUUCAGGAGUACUGGUGCAAGAGGUUACAUCCCAAGAAUGUAUGUGAAAAGGUUUACAGGCAACCUCCUUUGCGUGAGUCUUUAAGAAAGGGAAAGCUUAGAAAGCAAGAAGUAGUUCUUACAAAGCAGAAGAAUGCUCUUAUACAGGCUGCAGACUUCAUUGGCAAGAAAAUCCAAUAUGAUUGUCCUGGUUUCCUACCCAACAGGCGUCAGGUAGAGUUAUUUGUUCACAUGUUAACAUCUCCGUAUCAGUUGCUUAUUAAUUUUACACAUUUUGUUUUCCUUUCUUUUACUUGGUAUCCUUUUUCUACUGUGGGUGGUACUUAUACUUUUGCAGCUUUUUUUUUUGUGAACAAAUGAAUUUGUACUUUUUGUCUGUCUUAAUAGAUAUAGGAUGGACCUUUGGUUUUAGUAGAUAACUUGUCCUUGAUUUGGUAGUUGCUGCAGAGAGGUGCAUGUGACAAAUCCAGCAUUCAUUGAGUAUAUCAUGCCGUGGAAUUGUCUGUUAUUAUAGAUACUAUUCUUUUAUCUUUUCCUUAAUUUAGGACUAAUAUUUUAUUUGGGAUUUGAGUCGUGAACAGAUUUGAAUAUAAAUUCAUAGGGGCUGGGGGGAAAUUCUUUCAGGCAAUUACAAAUAUUCUGAAGAGUCAAGUGAUAUCAAAUUAUAGAAGAAAAUAAUCAAAAUAUGUAAAAUGCAUUUUCUAUGUUAAUUUUUCAUCUGCGUAAUUUCUGCAGCUUCUUGUGGCCUUUUUCUUUGAUGUAGAUUUCUGUUUUAUUGUACCCAAAUAAAGACAUUCUGAGAAAACUGAGGAUUGAACAGAAGUAAUAAUAUAUCAUGGGUUAAAAUUAGAGUAAAUUACAUCAAGAUCACCUGAUCUUUUCUCAAAUUAUACUUACACCCCCUACUUUUCUCAUCAUUACAAUGACUUCCCUUAAGUGGGUGCAUUUGUAAUGUGAAAAAGGAAGACUUAAGGGGUACAUGAUAAAGAUCAAAUAUGUAUUAGAACUUAUAAUAUCAAAAAGCAAUCAAAUUCAAGUAACAAGUAUGAAUCUCAUCUUCACUUUAGUACAAUUAAAUGUCGCUAAAAGUUUGAAUCAAUGAUUCUAUGAACUAUAGAAUUUCAAGACAAGCACAAGAAUAUAACAAUUGAACUAAAACAAUUAACAAAAGACAAUGACUGAGUUAGAAUAAGAAACAAAUGGCGGCAAUUAAGAGGAACUAGAAGAAGAAAUGAAAAUGACAAGUAGUAAAAGGAAAAGGUGGAGAAGACUUAAGGAGAUGGAAGAGAGCUCUCCAUCUCCAUAAUAAGUUUCAUGUAGAAUCACCACUUGACUCCUAGGAGCUCAAGAUAAGACUCAAAGCUCAAGAUCACUCUUACAAGUAUCUCACAAUUACGAGGGAGUGAUUAUAUAUAUCCAUCAAUGGCAAAAAAAUUCAAUGAAUAAAGGAGGGAAAAUCCAAUUUGAAUUUUGAAUCUAGAUCUAGAUCAAAGGGUAGGAUUCCAUAUUUUGUGUGCUUGUUUCACUUUCCAUGCUAGUGUCACACUUUCCAUGCUUAGCUUACUACUUUCUUGCCAUAUAUUCUUUUUGGUCGAGAAUUUCAUGGCUCAUAUUGGGUUUGAUUGUUGCCAUGUGUUCCUUGCUAGGUUGCCUUCAAAAUGCCGCACCCCUUAGUACAUUUUCAGCUAGAUAGGCCCAAUUACAACCUAAGAUAAAAAAAAAUGCUAUUUGCAGCUAUUUAACAAUGAAAGAAAAUACAAUGCAAGUAAGUUCUUUUCUAGAUUUACAAACAUUUUUAUUUAUUAAAGCUAAUAAAGAUCAUUCUCAUCUCCACAUUCAUUAGUACACGUGUAAUGUAACCAGGAAGACAAUGUAAUGUUUUUAAAAUAAAGGAGAGGUUUGUGAGAAUUUUAAAAAAAUAACUGAGGUGUCAUUGCAUUAUAAGAAAACCUUGGGGGUGUUAAUAUAAUAUAUAAUUUACUCUUAGAAUUAGGAUUUAGACUGCAUGUUGGAGAGCACGACAGUUUGAUGAAAAUUAUUAAUUUUCAUAAUAUUCAAGCAUUUGGAUAACAAAUCAUGACAACUGGUCUCUUGAUUUUCUUUCCAGUGGUUAUUACCACUUGCAUUUUACUAUCUGUAAUCUGUCAUUGAAAUUGAUAUGGUUAAAGGAUGCUAUUUUCUGGUUGAAAGACAAGAACUGUCCUCAAGACAGUUUUUUUUUUUCGCCCAGAAAUUGUGAAAAGCGUAAAAGUAAUUCAUACUUUUUCAUAAAGUAAACAUCAUAUGAUUGUCCUAUAACUAUUCUUAUGUUGGUUAUUUAUCAGUGCCAAAUAGUCCCAGAACUAUGGAUUAUAUUAUAUCUUGGUUGAGAAUAUUUUUAGAUUUUUAUUACCGAAAGAUCACCUACAUUAGGAGUAGUAAACAAUAAUUUUAUAGAAAGAAAAAUUGGUAGGCACCAUACUUGUGAGUGUUGCUUCUGUGUUUUCACACUGAACAAAUAUUCUCCAUUCACCCUUCUUUGGUUUUUUAAUAUGUAUUAUAUUUUCUGAAGAAACGUCUGCCUGGUUUGUAGUCAUUUACUACUUGGGUUAAGUAUUAUCAAAUGCCUUGGGUUUAAAAAUGAAUAAUGUGUUUGGUCUCUUUAUUAAGCUUGUUUUUUCUUGUUAUAAAGAAAUAUAUAUGUUCAGUACUGCAAAAAUUACAUUGUCUCAAAUUUCAAUCUGAUACCAGCAUCAUAUUCAUUAUCUUUUUUUCAGUACUUCAUUCUAAGUAUCUGUAACUUAUUAUAUUUUCCCUUUAUUACUUUUCAUGUCUGAACUUAAAAGCAACUUGCAGCCGAUCAUGGUUGUCAUUAUUCUCAUAUUGUUAUAAAGUAAUAUAUAUGUUCAGUACUGCAAAAGAUUACAUUUUCGUUAAAUUUCAAUCUGAGACGAUCAUACUCAUUAUCAUUUUUUCAGUACUUGAUUCUAUGUAUCUGUGACUUAUUAUAUUAUCCCUUUAUUACUUUUCAUGUCUUAACUUAAAGCAACUUGCAGCCAACCAUGGUUGUCAUUAUUCUCAUAUUGUUAAUUUUUCUAUGUUAUGUCUUUAUCUCUAAUUCUGUUAAUAUUUCCUUAUUUAUCAGCAUCGUAUGGCAGGAUUUGCUGCUAUUGAAAUUGCACAAAAGGUCUCUAAGGCUUGGCGUGCCCUUCAAACGGAAUGGAAAUAUUCUAAUAAAAACAACUCAAGCUCAAAGAAUGGCAAAAGGGCAAGGAGAAGGGAAAGAAUUAAUAUGCCCAGUCAGAAUAGGGGAGGUGCAGGUUGUAGCACAAGUAGUACUUCCGAAACAUCUCCUUCGCAUGGCAUUGUAGAUGAUAGAUCAUCCAGCCGUUCAAUAUCAUGGAAAGAUAUUUAUUCAAUAGCAGUUAGAUGGAGACAGAUUUCUGAGCCUUGUGACCCUGUUGUGUGGGUGAACAAGCUAAGGUAUUUCAUCUUUGGGCUAUAAGUAUUCUUGAAGACCAUAUUAGUGCUUCCCAUGUUUUGGAUUUUAUUGGUUUCUUUGCACUGCAGUGAAGAGUUUAAUUCUGGAUUUGGUUCUCACACACCCAUGAUCCUGGGACAAGCCAAAGUUGUCCGUUACUUUCCUAACUAUGAAAGGUAAAAAGACCCUGUUUAAGUUCUGUAUUGGUAGACUGGAUUUGGGCUCAUUCUUUUUAAACAUCACAGGACUUUAGAUAUCGCAAAGACUAUCAUAAAAGAGAAAUCAUAUGUCUACAGCAAGACAGAUCAUAUCAUUCGUCUUUCCGAGGAUGGGAAACUGGAUGAGGUGAUUUGUUUAUUGUUGAUUUAGAUCUGGUGCUUGUUUCUUGUGACUUGAUUUACUAUGCAAAAGGCCUCAGCUGUGACUUGUAACCCAAUUGGUUGCUUUGGAAAACUUUUACUUUUCUUUGCUCACGUUAGUACUGGCUGUAAUGUGCUUCUUGUGCUAUUUGUUUUGCCUGGUCAUACAUUAAAGUUCACACUUGUAGGUUGUAUGUUACUUUUUUUGUGUAUUUUUGUUGUAUAUUAAAAAACAUGGAGUGCGGAAGAAUAAUUUAUUGAUCCAUCAACAGCAUAAUUUAUACAGGUGAGAGAAUAAAGGAAAAUAACUCCUACUUAGUGCCUAAAAAUCCUCUAUAAAUAGAGCAUAUCAGACAGUUCCCAAGAGAUAACAUAAAAACAGUCAUGAGUCCAAAAAACUAGCAACAACUUAAAAAAAAAAUCAGUUUCAUGAGUCAUCUUGUCAACGUUCCUCCUUACUCUGGAACUGCAUACAUUAAGCCUCUACCUCAAGAAUUCAUAUCUAGCUUUAGGAAGUGACCUUGUUAGGAUAUGAGCACUUUAUUCUUUAUGUUUUGCAGUAGAUUAAUUUCAUUUCUCCUUCUCUCUGUGCCUCCCCCUUAGAAAGUAGAGCUUUUAUCUUGAAGUGUAUUGUUUUGCCAUGGAAAACUGGAUUACUAGCAGUUGAACUUGCAGCUUGAUUAUCCACAAAUAUAUGUGUGCUGUCCUGUUGUUUCAUAUGCAAAUCUGUCUUGAGCUUUUUGAUCUGAAGAGCAUGAUAACAGCAGCAGUUGCAGCCACAUAUUCUGCUUCUGUUGUGGAUUGAGCUAUGAUUUCUUGCUUCUUUGAAUGCCAUGAAAAAAUCCAGAACCAAAGCUAAAAUGAUAACCAAAAGUACUUUUCAUAUUAUCAGCACACCAGCUCAAUCACUAUCUGAGUUGCCAAGAAGACUGGAAUAUUCUUGAGAAAAGACUAGAUAUAUAUCGGAGGUCUAAUAGUGACCUGAUAGCGGAUGAGACAAUAGGUUCAAGAAAAAUCUCGCUAGGAUAUGUUCUGAUAUCUUCUUAAAAGUGGACUUUAAACUUAACUCAACUUCACAAAAUCAGUUUGUAAGGAUAGGUUUGCUCUCACUAGUACACUAUAAUUUGGUCAUAUCUCUAGUCAAUGAUCCAACAGUAUAAAGUUUAUUGUAUGCAAGAUGUUAGGCCUUGUUGCACUUGAAUACAUUAGGCAGUCUAUAAGGCUCUUGUAUAGCUUGUCAUCCACUUUUUUGUCUUCCUUACAAAAAGCCCCUUUUGAUUCAUUGGAGUUGCAGCUGGUUUGGUCCCUUCCAUGUUAAACUUCUUGAAAACUUCAUUUGCAUAUUUUUCUUGACAAAAAAUUAUUUCAUUCUGUUUUUUAUAGACCUUCAUACCAAGAUAGAAUGUCAUCCUUAAGGCCUCUCAUUUUAGAAACACCUUUCAAUUUUUCCUUGAACUUAUCAAUCUGCUCAUUGCUACUCUUACUAAGAGAUCUUCAAUAUAUAGAGAUACUUGUAUUUCACCAUCAAUUUGACAUAUGCAGUAGAUUCGCUCAAACAUUUUUAAAGCCUAAGUUCACCAAGUGGGAAUCAAUUCUGCUAUACCAUGACAACGAUACAUACAAAGCUUUCCUUAGUUGAUACACUUUCUCCUCCUGCCCUUGAAUAACAAACCCUUCAGGUUGCUAAACAAAAAUUUCUUCCUCCAAGUAUCAUUCAAAAGUUGAUUUCACAUUCAUUUGAUGUAUAAUCCAGCCCUUUUGUGCAGCAAUAGAAAACUAAAUUCUUAUUGCCUCUAGCCUGGAAACCGGGGCAAAAGUCUCAAAAAUCAACCCUAGAACCGAAGUAUAUCUAUUGACAACAAGCCUUGCCAUUUUUUUGUUUGUAGAACCAUCUGGAUUGAGUUCAGUUCUAUAAACACAUUUGACACCAAUGGCUUUCUUGUGGUGAGGUCAGUCCACCAGCUCCCAUGUUUGAUUUCUUGUAAUCAUUUUGAGCUCCUUCUUCAUUGCAUUUAUCCAUUUUUGGUCAGCUGCGCCUUUUUCAUAUUCUUCAGCCCCAUGACAUCAACAUUGCACCUUUGGUAGGUGUCUGAAAGUGAUCUAGUUCCUCUUAUGGGUUCUUCAUCAACAUCUUUAUUCUCCUCCUGAAAUUCAGGCUUCAUGUCAUCUUCCUAGUUCCAACUCUCUGAUUCCAAAAAUUUCACAUCCCUGCUAACAAUUACUUUGAAGUUGAGUUAAAGUGUACACAAAUUUCAGGUUCUGAUUUUUUGUCCAAGUUGUUCCUCUUUAUUGGAGGUAUGCAAGAGAAACAUAGGCAACCAAAUGUCUUCAGAUUUGAGCUUUGGUUUGUAGUUGUCCCAUGCUUCAAAUGGAGUCUUCUUUUGCAAAGCUUUUUGUUGGCACUCUGUUUAGCUAAAACACUGCUGUGUUUGCAGCCUCUGUUCAAAAUUUCUUUGGCAGUCCUUAUCAUGGAGUAAAUAUACCUUGCCAUUUCCUUAAUUAUUCGGGCUUUUCUUUCCAUGUAAAAGGAUGAUUUGCCUUAGCAAUUAGGGAUAUUCUCCAUUAUCAGGUUCUUCUUUCUUGUCCAAUUUGUCCCUCUUUAUUGGAGGUAUGCAAGAGAAACAUAGGCAACCAAAUUUCUCCAGAUUUGUUAGCUUUGGUUUGUAGUUGUGCAUGCUUCAAAUGGAGUCUUCUUUUGCAAAGCUUUUGUUGUCACUCUGUGUUUAGCUAAAACACUGCUGUGUUUGCAGCCUCCUUUCCAAAAUUUAUUUGGCAGUCCUUAUCAUGGAGUAAAUAUAGCUUGCCAUUUCCAUAAUUACUCGAACAUUUCUUUCCAUAUAAAAGAUAUGGUUUGCCUUAGCGAUUAGGAUAUUCUCCAUUAUUAGGUUUCCCUAUAUUUUAAUUUGAAUGAUUAUAAAUAAAGGUUUUACAUGUGUGAUCAAACACACAAUUCACAACUACGUAAAAACUCUGUACUCCACAACACCAUAUUUUUGUGGAGUGCACAGUGGUAUCAAUUGAUGUUCAAUGCCUGCAUCUACAUAAGCUGUCAAAAUUUUCAGAAAAAUAACAUAAGCUGUCAAAAUUUUGAGAAAAAUAACGGGCUCCAUUAUUGGACUUUAUCACCUGCAUUCGCUUUUCAACCUUUUGAGAAGAGAGAAACUGAGAAUGCAUAUGAUGUAUUCUGUGUGUUUAGACCACAAUAAAUCUCCUCAAUUUAUAGUAGAGAGAACAUUUUUACAUAAUAUUUAAUUACUCCAUAACAUAACUAUGGAAUCAAUCUAAUUGAUCCUAAUAUCAUCAAUUACGUAUCUAUAGAUUCAACACUCCUGCUCAAGCUUGAGCAUAUAAGUCAUCUACACCAAGCUUGUUACAUAUGUAGUUAAUCCGAGGACCCAUUAAUGACUGAAAUAGACUUUCACAGCCUUAGGAACCAAUAUCCUUAAAGCUUAAAAUGUUAUUUUAAGACAUAAAUCUGUAUCAAUUAUUAAAUAUGUAAUCUUAAAUAUUUUUGUUAGUUGAUUUAAUUUGAUUUCCUUAAUUAACUGAUAGAAUAGGACUUCCUUUCUAAAUUGUUAAAGCUUAAGGAUUUCUAAAUAUUUAUUAAUCUUUGAAGAUAAAUGCUUCAUAACUCUUACAUGUUCAUUUUUUUAAACGAAGUUUGAAUAAUAAUAAUAAUAAUAAUAAUAAUAAUAACAAUAAUAAUAAUAAUAUUUCAUUAGUUUGCCCUUUUAUGAAAAUGAACACUUGAAUAUUUGAUUUGCAGGUCACGCGUGCCAAUUCUGUCUCUGAUCUUUAUAAUGCUAUUGGUGAGGAUUUCUGGUCAUCUACGUGGUGCAACAGUACUGCAUUUGAAGGGUAAGUGUGCAAGAUGCAGAUGGUGCCUGGGAACAUAUAAUUUUUUUGAAUACUUAUUUCUGGAUGUUAAUGCUUCAGGAAACAACUUGAGGGAACAAGGAUAACACUUGUAAAAACGUGAGCUUGAUACAGUUAAAAUUUAAGUUAUUUUCUUCCACAUUUUCCUUUUUUUGUUUCUUAACUGUUCAUACCUGUAUAUUUUAUUGCGGGAAUGGUGAACAUUUUCAGGGAGGAGCAUGGUUUUGACUUUGCAAUUAGAACACCUUGUACACCUGCUAGAUGGGAGGAUUAUGAUGCAGAAAUGGCAAUGGCAUGGGAUGUACGUUAUAGUUAUAACUAUACCAAACUACUUCGAUUAUAUAUUUUUAGCCAAUAUAUAUAUGACCCUAUGGGCCUCUUUAUGUGGCUUGCUUCUAAUACGGGCAUGCAAAAAAUCCAGAUAUUCAAAUCCAAAUUACUUUAUGUUCAUCUUAACAUAUCCAUUUCAAAUCCAAAAUACAUAUUUUUGGAUUAGAAAUUUGUUGGAUAUUUUUUUUGGAUUUAAAAAAAUCCAAAAUCAAUGUUUGUCCAAAAAAAUUGUUUGGUCAAAACAAUUUUUUGUUGGUUUCGAUUGAGACACUUUUUACUCAAUUUGCAAAGUGUCUCUUUGGUUCGGACCAUGGUUGGGUUGUUGUUGGGUCAGUCCCUGUGUUGCCUACCUACCAAACAGUAUCCGUGUUGCUGGCAGUUCAUAUUGCCACCUGAUAAAAAAAAAUAUCAGAAAAAUAUUUAUAAGUAAAAAUAAUUUAGCUGUAAGAAAAAUACUUGAAAAAAAGGAAAAACUUCUAUUAGAAUCAAGGAAUACGAGUAUCAUCAUGUUAAACCAUAGUGUUAUUAGUCACUCUAUAUACUCCAUCUCUCAAAAUUAAUAAUUUAAUCUUGAAAGAUAUCUUAAUUAUUUAGUAAAUAUAUAUAACAACUAAAUUAGUUCAAAUAAAACUGAAUUUAUUAGAUAUUAUAGCCUUGGUUUGAAUGCCAUUUGUAUCCAAAUUAAAUGGAUGUGGAUUUAAACUAAUUUAAAUCCAAAUUCAAAUAAUUUAAAAAAUAACCAACUUAAUAUAAUUAAAUGGAUCUGAAUUUCAAAUCUAAUCUAUUUUAUUGGAUUUUUAAAAAUUCAAUUCAUCCCACCCCUAGCUCCUGUAAAGGAUGUGUGUUUUAGUCUUUACCAAUGAUCCAUGUCCCAUCAUUACAACGUGGUUGACCUAUGUAGUUACUUUUCAAGUUGCUUGAUGAAUUUCAACAAUUUACCUUGUAUCCAUCUUGAUAUCUUUCAGGCUCUCCGCAAUGCUUACUGUGGUGAAAAUUAUGGGUCUACUGACUUUGAUGCGCUCGCAAAUGUGAGAGAUGCAAUAUUAAGGAUGACAUAUUACUGGUAGGGCCUUAUAAUACAUAAAUUCUCUAGCCUCUUGGAGCGUUUGAAGCCAUUAUGUAAAUCUUUUUCUUCUAUCUUUGGUCUAAGUCAUUCCGUAAAUUUAUCUCCCUUUUUCAGGUAUAAUUUUAUGCCACUGUCCAGAGGAUCUGCUGUUGUCGGAUUUGCAGUCAUGCUGGGUUUGUUCCUUGCUGCUAAUAUGGAGUUCACAGGAAGUAUCCCACAAGGUUUGCAGGUUGAUUGGGAAGCCAUUUUGAACUUGGAUCCAAAUUCCUUUGUGGAUUCUGUCAAAAGUUGGUUAUACCCAUCUCUGAAGGUAACAACCUCAUGGAAAGACUAUCAUGAUGUAGCAUCAACCUUUGCAACAACAGGGUCGGUUGUUGCUGCCUUGAGCACUUCUGAUGAUUGAACUCCUUUGAAAUAAUGUCCAGGUGAGUGAAUGGCUCUGUUUUCCAAUUUCUGCUUUUCUUAAUUUCUGCUCGUCCUAUAAUGUUUAUAAAUAGUUACCCAAUAUGCAGUAUUGGUUUAUUCAGUAUCUCUGUAAAAGCAAAUUCAAUACUGUAUUACCUGUUUUUCGUAGGUCUCUGUAUUUUGCCUUAGUACUGCAUUGCUGCUGGUCUUUGACACGCUUCGGAAAUGCAGCAGAACUAUUAAUUGAAAGCUUUCACAUUUACCAACUGAUCUUCCUGUUCAGGCUCAAUCUUUGUACCCGCUUUUUAAAUUGUAAUAUUAUAUGUUAACCUUUAUACAAUCUUGUAAAUUAGGGCAUUGGAUGAUUGAAUUACCAUUUAUCUUCUCUCCUAUUCUAUUACCGCUAUGUGGCUGCCCCGCUCCCUACAAAAAACAGAUUCGAGACUAAUAAGUAUGUUUGUAUGUUAUUAAAUUGGUUUAGUGAGAAUGGGGUAGUAUUAAAUUGUUCAAAGUGAGAAUAAAGUAUUACAUUCUUAGCAUUUUUUAGUCAUAACUCCAUUUCCUGAUUUAUUGUUAAUGGUACGUCAUGGUUCGGUGUGCAUUUUAUGUAGGAUUUAUAACGCAAUUUUUCAACACAGAAUAAAAUUGCAGAAGGUAGGGCGAAAUUUCACAAAUUUUGCUAGGUUUUUCACAAAAUUUCAGAAAAAUUGUCCGAAAUAAUUUUUUCCUGAAAUUCCACGUAAGAAUCUGGAUUGAAUAUGGGACAAAACGCGACAAAUUUCACGUCAAACCAAUGAGUAUUUACCUAGGAAAAAGAUCAAACAGUUUCACACACAAACGAACCUUCGUUUCAAUCCUUGCAGUGAUGAAUCAAAAAUUUAUUGAAAAUCUUGUGUGACGAAUUUGGGGCUCAAAUCUCAGCCAAAACUCAAUACACACAAGGACGAAUGUCUCAUAAAAUUUUCAGAACAAAAGACCAAAGGAAUAGGGGGUGGUAAGACCCAGACCGAGAGUGAACAAAACCGGUUUUUCGAAAACAAAAUGUCCUGACUUUUCUUCCCUGUAUCUCCUUUUUGUGAUUUGUUUAUGGACGUGCCUCCUUCGCAGGGUNNNNNNNNNNNNNNNNNNNNNNNNNNNNNNNNNNNNNNNNNNNNNNNNNNNNNNNNNNNNNNNNNNNNNNNNNNNNNNNNNNNNNNNNNNNNNNNNNNNNNNNNNNNNNNNNNNNNNNNNNNNNNNNNNNNNNNNNNNNNNNNNNNNNNNNNNNNNNNNNNNNNNNNNNNNNNNNNNNNNNNNCUGAAUUUGGGACAAAACGCGACAAAUUUCACGUCAAACAGAUGAGUAUUCACCUAGGAAAAAGAUCAAACAGUUUCACACACAAACGAACCUUCCUUUCAACCCUGGCAGUGAUGAAUCAAAAAUUUAUUGAAAAUCUCGUGGGACGAAUAUAUGGCUCAAAUCUCAGCCAAAACUCAAUACACACAAUGAGGAAUGUCUGGUAAAAUUUUCAGACCAAAAGACCCAAGGAAUAGGGCGUAGUAAGACACAGACCGAGAGUGAACAAAACCGGUUUUCCGAAAACAAAAUGUCCUGGCUUUUCUUCCCUAUAUCUCAUUUUUGUGAAUUGUUUAUGGACGUGCCUCCUUCGUAGGGAGCAAAUAGCACAUGAAAGUACUUGUGUGAAUUUUUCAACGCAAUUUUUCAACACAAAAUAAAAUUGGAGAAAGUAGGGCGAAAUUUCACAAAUUUUGCUAGAGGAUAGCCUUAGUUUUUCACAAAAUUCCAGAAAAAUUGUCCCGGAAUAAUUUUUUUCUUAAAUUUCACAUAAGAAUCUGGACUGAAUUUGGGACAAAACGCGACAAAUUUCAAGUCAAACAGAUGAGUAUUCACCUAGAAAAAAGAUCAAACAAUUUCACACACAAACGAAUUUUCGUUUCAAUCCUUGCAGUGAUGAAUCAAAAAUUUAUUGAAAAUCUUGUGUGACGAAUUUGGGGCUCAAAUCUCAGCCAAAACUCAAUACACACAAGAACGAAUGUCUCAUAAAAUUUUCAGAACAAAAGACCAAAGGAAUAGGGGGUAGUAAGACCCAGACCGAGAGUGAACAAAACCGGUUUUUCGAAAACAAAAUGUCCUGACUUUUCUUCCCUAUAUCUCCUUUUUGUGAUUUGUUUAUGGACGUGCCUCCUUCGCAGGGUGCAAACAACACAUGAAAGUACUUGUGUGAAUGUUUCAACGCAAUUUUUCAACACAGAAUAAAAUUGUAGAAAGUAGGGCGAAAUUUCACAAAUUUUGCUAGAGGAUAGCCUUGGUUUUUCACAAAAUUUCAGAAAAAUUGUCCCGGAAUAAGUUUUUCCUGAAAUUCCACGUAAGAAUCUGGACUGNNNNNNNNNNNNNNNNNNNNNNNNNNNNNNNNNNNNNNNNNNNNNNNNNNNNNNNNNNNNNNNNNNNNNNNNNNNNNNNNNNNNNNNNNNNNNNNNNNNNCAAAACGCGACAAAUUUCACGUCAAACAGAUGAGUAUUCACCUAGGAAAAAGAUCAAACAGUUUCACACACAAACGAACCUUCCUUUCAACUCUGGCAGUGAUGAAUCAAAAAUUUAUUGAAAAUCUUGUGGGACGAAUCUAGGGCUCAAAUCUCAGCCAAAACUCAAUACACACAAUGAGGAAUGUAUAGUAAAAUUUUCAGACCAAAAGACCAAAGGAAUAGGGGGUAGUAAGACACAGACCAAGAGUGAACAAAACCGGUUUUUCGAAAACAAAAUGUCCUGACUUUUCUUCCCUAUAUCUCCUUUUUGUGAUUUGUUUAUGGACGUGCCUCCUUCGCAGGGUGCAAACAAGACAUGAAUGUACUUCUAUGAAUGUUUCAAUGCAAUUUUUCAACACAGAAUAAAAUUGUAGAAAGUAAGGCGAAAUUUCACAAAUUUUGCUAAAGGAUAGCCUUGGUUUUUACAAAAUUUCAGAAAAAUUGUCCCGGAAUAAGUUUUUCCUGAAAUUCCACGUAAGAAUCUGGACUGAAUUUGGGACAAAACGCGACAAAUUUCACGUCAAACAGAUGAGUAUUCACCUAGGAAAAAGAUCAAACAGUUUCACACACAAACGAACCUUCCUUUCAACCCUGGCAGUGAUAAAUCAAAAAUUUAUUGAAAAUCUUGUGGGACGAAUCUAGGGCUCAAAUCUCAGCCAAAACUCAAUACACACAAUGAGGAAUGUCUGGUAAAAUUUUCAGACCAAAAGACCAAAGGAAUAGGGGGUAGUAAGACACAGACCGAGAGUGAACAAAACCGGUUUUCCGAAAACAAAAUGUCCUGGCUUUUCUUCCCUAUAUCUCAUUUUUGUGAUUUGUUUACGGACGUGCCUCCUUCUUAGGGAGCAAAUAGCACAUGAAAGUACUUGUGUGAAUUUUUCAACGCAAUUUUUCAACACAAAAUAAAAUUGGAGAAAGUAGGGCGAAAUUUCACAAAUUUUGCUAGAGGAUGGUAGCCUUGAUUUUUCACAAAAUUUCAGAAAAAUUGUCCCGGAAUAAUUGUUUCCUGAAAUUCCACGUAAGAAACUGGACUGAAUUUGGGAAAAAACGCGACAAAUUUCACAUCAAACGGAUGAGUAUUCACCUAGAAAAAAGAUCAAGUAGUUUCACACACAAACAAACCUUCAUUUCAACCCUAACAGUGUUGCAUAAAAAAUUUGUUGAAAAUCUUGUGGGGCGAAUCUGGGGCUCAAAUCUCAGCCAGAACUCAAUUCACACAAUGACUAAUGUCUGAUAAAAUUGUCAGACUAAAAACCAAAGGAAUAGGGGGAAGUAAGACACAAAUCGAGAGUGAACAAAACCGGUUUUCCGAAAACAAAAUGUCCUGGCUUUUCUUCCCUAUAUCUCAUUUUUAUGAUUUGUUUAUGGACGUGCCUCCUUCGCAGGGUGCAAACAGCACAUGAAAGUACUUGUGUAAAUUUUCAUCGUAAUUUUUCGACACAUAAAAAAAUUGAAGAAAGUAGAGCGAAAUUUCACAAAUUUUGCUAGAGGCAUAGCCUUGGUUUUUCACAAAAUUUCAGAAAAAUUGUCCCUGAAUAAUUUUUUCCUGAAAUUCCACAUAAGAAUCUGGACUGAAUUUGGGACAAAACGCGACAAAUUUCACGUCAAACGGAUGAGUAUUCACCUAGGAAAAAAUCAAACAGUUUCACACACAAACGAACCUUCCUUUCAACCCUGGCAGUGAUGAAUAAAAAAUUUAUUGAAAAUCUUGUGGGACGAAUCUGGGGCUCAAAUCUCAUCCAAAACGCAAUACACACAAUGACGAAUGUUUGGUAAAAUUUUCAGACCAAAAGACCAAAGGAAUAGGGGGUAGGUAGACCCAGACCUAGAGUGAAUACAACCGGUUUUCCGAAAACAAAAUGUCCUGGCUUUUCUUUCCUAUAUCUCCUUUUUGUGAUUUGUUUAUGGACUUGCCUCCUUCGCAGGGUGCAAACAGCCCAUGAAAGUAGUUGUGUGAAUUUUUCAACUCAAUUUUUUAGCACAGAAUAAAGUUGCAGAAAGUAGGGCGAAAUUUCACAAAAUUUGCUAGAGGAUAGCCUUGGUUUUUCAUAAAAUUUCAGAAAAAUUCUCCCGGAAUAAUAUUUUCCUGAAAUUCCACGUAAGAAUAUGGACUGAAUUUGGGACAAAACGCGACAAAUUUCACGUCAAACGGAUGAGUAUUUACCUAGGAAAAAGAUCAAACAGUUUCACACACAAGCGGACCUUCCUUUCAACCCUGGCUGUGAUGAAUAAAAAAUUUAUUGAAAUUCUUGUGGGACGAAUCUGGGGCUCAAAUCUCAGCCAAAAUUCAAUACACACAAUGACGAAUGUCUGGUAAAAUUUUCAGAUGAAAAGACCAAAGGAAUAGGGCGUAGUAAGACCCAGACCAAGAGUGAACAAAACCGGUUUUCCGAAAACAAAAUGUCCUGGCUUUUCUUUCCUAUAUUUCCUUUUUGUGAUUUGUUUAUGGAUGUGCCUCCUUUGCAGGGUCCAAACAGCACAUGAAAGUACUUGUAUGAAUGUUUCAACGCAAUUUUUCAACACAAAAUAAAAUUGGAGAAAGUAGGGCGAAAUUUCACAAAUUUUGCUAGAUGAUAGCCUUGGUUUUUCAUAAAAUUUCAGAAAAAUUGUCACGGAAUAUUUUUUUCCUGAAAUUCCACGUAACAAUCUGGACUGAAUUUAGAACAAAACGCGACAAAUUUCACGUCAAACGGAUGAGUAUUCAUAUAGGAAAAAGAUCAAAAACUUUCACACACAAACGAACCUUCCUUUCAACUCUGGCAGUGAUGAAUAAAAAGUUUAUUGAAAAUCUUGUGGGACGAAUCUGGGGCUCAAAUCUCAGCCAAAACUCAAUACACACAAUGACGAAUGUCUGAUAAAAUUUUCAAACCAAAAGACCGAAGGAAUAGGGUUGUGUAAGACCCAGACCGAGAGUGAACAAAACCGGUUUUCCAAAAACAAAAUGUCCUGGCUUUUCUUCCCUAUAUCUCAUUUUUGUGAUUUUUUUAUGGACGUGCCUCCUUCGCAGGGUGCAAACAGCACUAAAGUACUUGUGUGAAUUUUCAUCGUAAUAUUUUAGCACAGAAUAAAAUUGCAUAAAGUAGGGCGAAAUUUCACAAAUUUUGCUAGAGGAUAGCCUUGGUUUUUAACAAAAUUUCAGAAAAAUUGUUCCGAAAUAAAUUUUUUCCUAAAAUUCCACGUAUUAAUCUGGACUGAAUUUGGGACAAAACGCGAUAAAUUUCACGUCAAACGGAUGAGUAUUCACCUAGGAAAAAGAUCAAACAGUUUUACACACAAACGAACCUUCCUUUCAACCCUGGCAGUGAUGAGUAAAAAAUUUAUUGAAAAUCUUGUGGGACGAAUCUGGGGCUCAAAUCUUAGUCAAAACUCAAUACACACAUUGAAGAAUGUCUGGUAAAAUUUUCAGACCAAAAGACCCAAGGAAUAAGGCGUAGUAAGACCCAGACCCAGAGUGAAAAUAACCGGUUUUCCGAAAACAAAAUGUCCUGACUUUUCUUCCCUAUAUCUUCUUUUUGUGAUUUGUUUAUGGACGUGCCUCCUUCGCAAGGUGCAAACAACACAUGAAAGUACUUGUGUGAAUUUUUCAACACAAAUUUUCAACACGGAAUAAAUUUGCAGAAAGUAUGACAAAAUUUCACAAAUUUUGCUAGAGGAUAGCCUUGGUUUUUCAAUAAAAAAAUUCUUUGUCACGUUUUUGCCUUUUAAUUAUUUAACAAUUUUCGUGACUCUUUCAAAUGCAACGGCUAUCUUAACCAGUUAUAGGAUCCAACAAGUAAAAAAUGUGAAGACAGAAGAAACUAAGUUUUUUUUGUAAUUUUUUUAUUGGGUCAUAUCUAAAUUCGAUUUUCUAGGAAUUAACAAGAUUUGCAUGUUUUAUCUGAAACUAAAUAAAACAAUCAGAAUUAUUAGAUGAUAGUAUUAUUAAUAAUUAUAGUAAUAUAAUUAUUCUUCAAUUUAAUCUAUUAAUUAAAUAUAUUUUUAAAAUAUGAAGUUGUUUAGUUUUUAAAUAUUAAAUUAUGUAGUCAUUUUCAAAAUAAUUUUUCUAAAAAGUCUAACAAUUUAUUUUGAAAUUACAAAUUUUAUAAAAAAACUUGUGACAAGUUAUAGUUCAAUCCAAUUUGUUCUUAUCUAUGAUUGGUUGAGGUGAUUGAGUAUGAUAAAAAACAAAUAAAGUUUAGUCCAAUCCAACUCCUUACACUUCUAACAAAAAUUAAAGAAAAAUAAUUUGAUUUAGGGUGAGUUUGGUUUUUGUCAAAAAAAAAAAAGUUUUAAUUCUUCAACUUUAUUUAUAAUUUUUUAAAUAAAACAAAAAUAAUAUUUUGAAAUUGUAUACUAUCAAAUAAAAUUUUAUAUUAUGUAGUUUUUAAACAAUUUAUAAAUUAUUACAUACAUAUUUUUAUUUAAAAAUAUUAAUUAUCAUUUUGAUAAUAAGGCUAUAAAAUAUUUUAACCUUGUUAGUUGGAAUGACAACUUAGUUCAAAUAAAAUACACUAAAGUCACCAACUCUAAAUACAAAUUCUUUCUUUGUAUUUGAUUUACACUAAAAAAAAUAAAAAAAAAUUAAAGCAGAUUAGUAGACUUAAUUAAAAUUAUACGAAUAAAUGAGUACUUUUAUCCGACUUUUACGUAAAAGUUAUAUUUUUGUUAGCUAUAUAUGUUUUAAUAUUCAUUUUAACAAUACGACUUUUGUUAUGAAAAUUUGAAAUUAUACUAUUUGAUGAUGACUUGUUCAUAUAUAUAUAUAUAUAUAUAUAUAUAUAUAUAUAUAUAUAUAUAUAUAUAUUUAUUGCAUUUACCUAUUUUUGUAUUUUUUUUACCAAAUUACAUCAUUUUGGUCAUUUUUCCUAAUUUUUUACACACCAUCAUCACCAUCCAAAAAACAUAGGCAAAAUAUUAAACAAUAUAAUUUUCAUAAUUUUUCAACUCUAUUACCAUGUUUUCAUCUUCUUCUUCCUCAACAUCAUAGAAUCAAUUUUAUUUUGGACCACAAAAUCUUCCAUUUCUCGACGUGUAUCAUUCCAAAUUGACUUGGGCGAAUCAAAAAGCCACAUUGUGUUCAUCUGUAUGUUAACCAUUUGUGCCGCGUAGUAUGGAUCUUGAAUCCCUUUCUCUUUCGAGACCUAUAUUGAUCGCUAAUGAACAUUAAACAAUCCAUCAAACUCUCCUUAACUACCUCUUUCAUGUCCUAAGCAUAUUAUGUUUGUUGGAAGAUUUCAUAAAUUAAAAAUAACAACAUUUCAUAAUAUAUAUUCAUAAUUUCUCUGUAUCCCUUGACCAAAAUUCUAAAUUCCCUUCUUGUUUCAAAUGCCUCCCAACACUUAUUUUUGUCUGAUUUCUUCCUUAUUCAUUAGGCUUUCUCUUUUGAAUCUUUCCACCUUCAUCUCCCAUAACUCUGUUAAUUCUCUUGGCUCUCUCACUCUUCAAAUUCAGCUCACUAAACUUGAUUUUGUGGUAAUCCUGUUAAGAGAGUCUGCAUUAGGUUUUCCACUUUGGGUUUCCCUCCCAUGCUUCUAAGCUCAACAAAUCAGUAAUUGUUGGAGUGAGGAACCUUAUGAGUCGGUUUUAUGAGUUGAGUUAAGUUUAAAGUAUGUUUUGUAAUAUGAAAAUUAGAGUCAUUUUGAGUCUAUCCUAAUGAGUGUUUGUUGGGCUUAUCACGUCAUCUGCUAUCGGACCACCCAUAAUAUGUUAUCCCACAUAAAGAGGUGAAGAGGUAUAAUGGAGAUCUCACAUCGACUAGAGCAGUACUAUCCAUUACUUUACAUAUUACUUUACAUAUUGUUACUAGAUCUCUGAGAAGUUGCAAAAGACUAACAAUUCCCAUUUGUUGCCUCUCAUCACAAGAUCUUAACACAUUACAAAAGAUUCACUACCACUUCUUCUAAAUCUGCCAAACUUUCUCUUCCAUUUGGGUAUCAAAAUGUUCUGAGAAGCCCUAUUCCCGCAGGUGAUGUUGGGUUUACCAAACCACCCCCACAUUCCACACAAGUCCUUCAAGAAUCUCUUUUUGCAUAUUAGUCCCAGACUGAAGCAAUGAAGAAGAUAGAGAGAGCAGCACUGAAGUUGUUGGCUCAUUCUUCUGCCUUUCUGCUGUUCUCUAAUUCCAAGUCUCCAUGAUGCUACUCCAACCUCUCACCUCUCUCUCAUUGCUUCAACCCAACAAACUUUUCAUAAUAUUCUCUUUACCUCAAAAUUUAUAAUACAAUAUUUUUAAGGUAGAAUGUGUUAAAAUUAUAUUAUUUAUGAGUUAUAUAAAUAUUAUUUUAUUAAAAUAAUAUAAGACUUAUAAAAGAUUAAAUAUAUUAAAAUUAUGUUAUUUAUGAAUUAUAUAAAUAUUUCAUUAUUUUUAAAAUAUUAUAAGAAAACGAAAAUAAAAGACUUAUCUAUUUGUAUUUAAUAAUAUUAAGAUUUUUUUUGGGGAUAUAUAUAUAUAUAUAUAUAAAAGAUGCACAUUUGAAGAUCAAUAUAAAUAUAAAUAAAUAAGAUGCAUAAAUUAAAUAAUAUAAAUAAAUAAAAUAAAUUAGUACAUAACUAAAAAUAAAUUAGUACAUAACUAAAAAUAAAUUAGAACAUAACUAAAAAUAAAUUAAAUAAUAUAAUAAAAAUAGACUAAUGUAACUAAAAACAAAAUAAAUAAAUAAAAUAAUUAAAGAGAAUGAGUUAUAAAAUAAGGAUUUAUUGAAAUUGUAUUUUUUUGUGUUCUCCUCUUUUCACCUCUCUAAUAUUUCUUUCUAACUAUACAGUGAUCUAUUUUUAUUUAUUUAUAUUUAUAUUAUUUAAUUUAUUUUUAGUCACAUAUUAAUCAUUUUUUAUUUAUUUAUAUUUAUAUUAUUUAAUUUAUCUUUAGUUAGAUAUUAAUCUAUUUUAUUUAUUUAUUAUUUAUAAAAUCUCGCUAAUAUAUUUAUAUUUCUUAAUUUAAUAUUUGUCAUUUUUUUUAAAAAUUUAUUGGCAAAUAAAUACUAUAAAAAAAUUGUAAGAGUAAAAAGUCAAUAAUAAAUAAAGAUUUAAAAAUAUAAUAAUUAAAGGUUAAAUCUUGUAAAUUUAAAUAAGUAAAUAUUAUUUAAAAUGAUGUCAUAUUGUAUUAUUCUGUCAACCAUACUUAAACUUAUUAAUUUCGAUUAGUCAAUACAAAACUAAUUAAAAUCUUUAUAACACAAAAUAAAAUAGAUUAUAUUGAUGAUAUUGUAAAGGUGAUUUGUGUCUUAAUUUUGAUAUGAUAUUAUUCUACAUGACAUUUGUUCUCAUUUUCCAUUUUUUCAAUUGUAUAUAAAAAAAAAUAUUAACUUAAAUAGAUGAAGAUGUGAAACUUUUCAAAUCUCUUUUCUAUAUUAUAGUAGUUUUAUCGAGAACAAGAUGGAAUAUAAAUAUCAUUGUCAAUUCCAUCACUUUUUCGAGAAACAUGUCUCCUUUGAUCUUGACAUUCAUUUCUGAUACGAAAAUCUUGAUCAUUCUAUAAGAACUAAUAGUGAUAACUUUGUAUGUCUUUUACCAUCUAUAUUAGUCCCUUAAUCAAAAUGGGUUCACCAAUUAUAUAAAGAAUGUAGUAGUAAUAAGAAAUAAAUGAUUUGUAGAUAAAAGAAUUUUUCCUUUCUCUCUAGGUCAUUAACAAAUAUGUAUGUAAAAUAGAAUAAAAAAUACAAUGUAAAAAUAUUUACCUCAUAUCUUCUUUUAUCAAAAGUUAUUAGAAAAUAAGUAUUUCUCAAAAAAUAAUUAUAGUAAUAAUCUGAUUAAAUUGAAAAAAAAAUGUUACAAUUAAGUGUGUGAUCUUAUGGUGUUAUGUCAAUAAUUGCUUCUAACUUCUCAACUUCAUGCUCAACAACGAGUUUAAAGUUGUUCUAUGUGAGUGUUAUGUAUUCAUAACUAAUAAUCAUGAGUAUUAAAUCAAUAGAUAUGAUUUACUAUUUAAAUAUUUCGUAAAAACCAUAUUUUUUUAGUUAUCUAAAUCUUAUUUGUAGGUAUAAUAUAAAUUAAUUUUAUUAAAGUACUUACUCAAUUCUUCCACCCAAUAUUCAUAUAUUUAAUAUUUUCAAUAGUUUUUAUUAACUUAAGCUUUGAAGAAUUAUUUACAAAUAUAUUUCUCAUCAAUAUUUCUCAAAGAUUCAGUGAUCAUAUCCUAAAAUAUCUAAUUAUAUUUCUAGAAAAUUUAUUCUUUCAAUGGAAAGUACAGCACUCAUUUUCUAUCAAAACAAUUAUCAGGUAAAAAAAGAGAAAUGAAAUUAGUCUUGUAAUAAAAGUGGAUGAGAUAAAAUGAUAGGUUGAAAGUAUAAAUCUUUCAUUAACAAAAACUACUAUAUCAAUAGCUACUUUUUUUUUUCAAAAGAAAAAAAAAUACUCUUACAAAGUUAUCGUAAAUAUACUUUAUAUGCUCUUUUCUCGGUAUACCUUCUGUCAAAAAUAAAAUAUAAUUACUCUACUACCUACUACUCUUUUAAAUCCUAUUUAUUGUCUGUUUAGAUAUAAAGUACAGCAUAAUAAAAUAAUCAUUAAAUCUCAUUAAAAGUCUGUUAUGGAAAUAAAUAUGGUUCGUUAUAUGUUAAAAGUACUUAUCACCGAGAAAUUAUUAUUUAAGUAAAACUUUGAGGGAAAUAAUAAAUAUUAUAUUAAAUGAUAUAUAGGCUGUACUUUGUUUUUAUUUAACAACUUUUAAGACAAUUAGAUAAGAUUUUUUUUUUCUCAAAAUAGUAUAAUUAAAAAUUUGAAUCUUCAUUGAAAUGAUUAUCAUGAACUCUUAUUUUGACACAUAUAAUUAACAACAAUCAUAGAUGAAAUUAUGUAGAAUUUAAGUAUAGAAAUUAUUCAAUGUAUAUAAAAUAAAAGGGUGACAUGAUCUUGAUAAAAAUAACAAAAUAUAUGAUAAAGCAUAACAUCAACAACGUUAAUGGUGAUAUAAUGAUAACUGCGAGGAUGGAUGUAACAAUGAAAAGAUGAUACCAGUUAUAAUAAAUGAUAACAAUCAUGAUAAAAAAAAAACCCAAAAAUAAAGAGUAAUAAAAUAUUAAAAGAAUAAAAAUUACAACUAAAGUUACACAUUGAUAAAAAUAUUAAUUUAGUUGUUACACUUUUAUAAAAUUAGACUUCGAAAUUAUAAUUUUAAACUAAUUCAUGUAAAUGAGAUUAAAUUAUUAAAUUCUAUUAAAAACUAAACUUAUUAAAAAUGUGUAACUCUCGUUUAAUGUAUUGAUAUUAUUAUUGUAGUGUCAUCUGAGUCCAAUAUUAUGUAUAAAGAAAUGAUCUACUGAUAUUAAUAUUAUUAGAGCAUCACGUAAGUUAAAAAAAUUUGGAUAAUCAAUGUUAAAUAAAAAAUAAUAUUUAUUAUUGAAUUAAGCUAAUAAUUAGUAAAAAAAAUAGAAUGAUAAUUUUAAUAUUUAUUAAAAAAUACAUAAUAUAUAUAUAUAUAUAAAUUAAAAGUUCAUGAAUUAUUGAUUAUACUAAAUAUUCUAGAUUUAAAAUUAUCAAUAUUUUUUUCUAUUAACAAUUUUGAAUAUCCAAUUCUAUAGUCCUACACCUACAUUUCUUGCUUAAUUUUACAGGUGAAACCGACAUUAAAAGUUAAAAAAAAAUAAAUCCUGAGAGUAAAAAAUAUUAAAAAAAUAUGAGAAGGGUGAAGAAGAAGUGUCGGUGAUGUCACCAGGGAGAAUUAUUGGGCAACAUCCUUUGUGGCUCAAACUCAUUGGUCCGUUAUACAAUCAUACAUCAAAUAUGCAUCCAUGGCUCCACCACUAUUUCCCAGCUGUAUCACCACCACAUCAUACAUCAAAUCUACCAUUCAAUCAUCAUUCAUACAUGCAUAUAUGCCAAUCACCAACCACAUCAAUAACCUUUUCUUCUUUCAUAUAUUAUGCUCUUUAACGUCUCUCCUAUGUAUCAUUCAUUCAAUUUUAUUUUUAUUAUUAUUUAUCACUUAGUUAUGCCUUCUAUUGUUUUCUCUAUUAAACGUGUUAACUCUUACCAUUAAUUACCAAUAAAUCAACUCCUUUUCCAUAAUGUCACCGACGCUAAUUAGCAACUAAGUAAAGCUUUAUAUUAACGAUUAAAAUGUACUUCUUUUCCAAUUCCAUUCUCAACAACUCAUUUUUUAGAGUUUGAUUUUCAUGUAUUGUGUCCGAUGAUAAAGUUCCCAGUAUUGUUGGAUUUUUCUGCUUUCAAUUAAAAAUACCAAAAAUUUUAUUUAUUUUUUUGAGUCCUAGACGAAGAAAUAAUGAUCCACAUGUGUUAAUGUCUGCUCUGAUUUUAUAUUUUCUCCACGUAAUGUUUUGGAGGAAAAUCUCGUUGAAAUUAUAAAUGAAGAUUAAAAAUUUAAUUUAACCUUGAAUAUGUGACAUUAUAAAAGAGUGGUAAUGCAAGAGGAAAAACUUAUUUGGGUGGGCCCCCAAAUGCGAAGCUUCUGAACCCUAACCCAAACUCGUUGAUCCAACGGCUAGUGGGGGCCCAUCUGAUAGGGACCCCACUUCCCCAACACCAAUAGCUGCCUGAGUGACAGAUGAAAGCAGAGGGUCCUGUCCUAUAUAUUUAUAAACCUUCUCCCACACUUUUCACUCUCCCUCUCAUAAAAAACCAACAGAACUCAAUGGAUCGGAAAAGUCUUCUGUCUUUCGCACUCAUCGCCGUUGUUGUCGCCGCCGUCGGAGGGCAGUCUCCAUCGGCGGCGCCCACCACGACCCCUCCGGCCUCCACCACCACUCCCUCUGCAUCCCCAGUCACUACCCCUUCUAAGCCUCAAUCACCGGCGCCGGUUGCUUCUCCCACCUCAUCUCCACCAGCUUCCUCCCACAAUGCUGCAACCGCAACCCCCGCAUCAACUCCCACGGCUUCGCCUCCGUCCAAAACUGCCGCUCCAGCUCCAGCGACCAACCCCCCGGCCUCCACACCUCCGUCUGCCACACCUCCGGCUGCUACACCUCCAGCGGUCACACCUCCAGCAGCCACACCUCCGUCUGCCACACCUCCAGCAGCUACACCUCCGGCUGCCACACCUCCAGCAGCUACACCUCCGGCUGCCACACCUCCAGCAGCCACACCUCCAGCAGCCACACCUCCUGCAGUCACACCUCCAGCGGCCACACCUCCGACUGCCACAACUCCAACAGCCACACCUCCUGCGGCCACACCUCCUGCUUUGACCCCAGUGAGCACACCGCCGGCGCAAGUUCCGGUGAGCUCUCCCCCUGCACUGGCACCGACAGUUCCGGCACCCGUGGUAGCACCGACUGCUGAGGCUCCCGCUCCGGCCCCGAAGAAGAAGACGACCAAGAAGAGUAAGAAGCACACUGCACCAGCACCGUCGCCAACAUUGCUCGGAC